GUCAAUCACUCCGGCCUGAAGGCCGGAGCUUGUAGUGGAGCGCGACUACAGGUGCCGUUGAUUAUACGACGUGGUUGAACAGGGGAGUGAAGCAGGUCACGAAACUGACGCUGCCGGGUGAGAUCCCAGCCCG
rnacentral:ncRNA from 1 species